CCUGCAGCCCCCCAAAAGGCCCCAAAGCCCCGCGCAGGUCCCGGCAGCUCACAGCACUCACUUGUCCCCCAUGAAGGCCCCAAAAGCCCCCCAAAAGGCCCCAAAAGGUCCUGGAAGAUCCCCAAAAAGCCCCCCAGAAGGCCCCGAUAGCCCCCCAAAAGGCCCCGAUAGCCCCCCAAAAGUCCCCCAAAAGGCCCCAAAAGGUCCUGGAAGAUCCCCAAAAAGCCCCCCAGAAGGCCCCGAUAGCCCCCCAAAAGGCCCUGAUAGCCCCCCAAAAGGCCCCAGAAGCCCCCAUGAAGGCCCCAAAAGCCCCCCAGAAGCCCCCCUGCAGUCCCCCAAAAGGCCCCGAUAGCCCCCCAAAAGUCCCCCAAAAGGCCCCAAAAGGUCCUGGAAGAUCCCCAAAAAAGCCCCCCAGAAGGCCCCGAUAGCCCCCC
ensembl:lncRNA